UCUACUUCCUUAAAUGUAGGCAAAUAAAAUUACGGAGAAAUAAAAUGACUGCAGCCUUUGAGCGCUGGUUUGUCCUAGGACAAUCGGAUUUCACCGGACGCCAACAAGAGGGGGAGCAAAGUGACCCCGCCGCCCGAGGAACGGCAGAAACCGGGAUCGCGGAGGUGCGAGCCCGAGCCCGGGAGCGGAGCGCUUCCCGGGGAGACGCCAAGACGGCGAGAAAGGAGGAGCGGGAACGCAGAGGUUAAGCGGGGGGAAGGCCGAGGAGAAACAGCCAGAGGACGGGAAGGAGGAAAUAGACGGGGAGAAGAAACUGAAGAUUAGUCGUUGAGUCGGGGAAGGUGUGAUUAUGAAAAUAAACAAGGGAAGUGAGGGAAAUAUAACCAAGUGGAUAAAGGAAAUGGAGUGCAAAUUGAGAACAUAAUCCAGAAUUUGUGAAGUGGUAUGGAUAAAGAAGGUCAAAAUGGUCUCUGAUGAAAAGAAACUUUUAAAAUGCUUGGAAAAGUUAAUGAAUUAGAUUUCCCUGAACUUGAAGAUAUUAGGAUUGGGAGAUCAAGACUCCCAUCAGCCAAAUCAAGAAUAUUCACAAUUGACAGGAAAACUCAAAGUUUCUUUUUCCCCACCAGAGAAAUGUCUCCC
rnacentral:lncRNA from 1 species